rnacentral:tRNA from 2 species
UCCCCGAUAGCUCAGUCGGUAGAGCAAUUGACUGUUAAUCAAUGGGUCGUUGGUUCGAGUCCAACUCGGGGAGCCA